AAGCUCGUAGUUGAAUUUCGGGAUCAAUAUGUCGGUCGUGCCUUCGGUACGUACUGGUAUCAUUGGUCUCUCCUUUCUGACGAACCAUGAUGUCAUUAAUUUGGUGUUAUGGGGAGUUAGGACUGUUACUUUGAAAAAAUUAGAGUGUUUAAAGCAGGCUUUAGCUUGAAUACAUUAGCAUGGAAUAAUGAAAUAGGACGUUCGAACCUAUUUUGUUGGUUUCUAGGAUCAACGUAAUGAUUAAUAGGGAUAGUUGGG
rnacentral:rRNA from 1 species